rnacentral:lncRNA from 1 species
CGCCGUCUGGAUUAAUUUGUUUGAGUUGUUCUAAGAUCUAUUAGACUCCGUUCAUCAUCUUAAACUUCGUUGUAUGCUUAAUAUGGAUCGAAUCUCGAGAUGUUACAUCUCAACAUCUCAUCCUCGUAGAUUUAUCCAUGGUUUGUUUAUAGAAUAACUCUUCGAUAUACUACUGCAUUUUUUUUUGAUGAGAGAUAUACUGCUGCCUUUGUUGGCCUAAACAU